rnacentral:rRNA from 1 species
GAUGAACGCUGGCGGCGUGCUUAACACAUGCAAGUCGAGCGAGAAGUUUUGAAAAGAUUCUUCGGAUGAAAUUUAAAAUGGAAAGCGGCGGACGGGUGAGUAACGCGUAGGCAACCUGCCCCAUACAAAGGGAUAGCAUUUGGAAACGAAUAUUAAUACCUUAUGAAACUUAACUAGUGCAUGCUAGGUAGGUCAAAGAUUUAUCGGUAUGGGAUGGGCCUGCGUCUGAUUAGCUAGUUGGUGAGGUAACGGCUCACCAAGGCGACGAUCAGUAGCCGACCUGAGAAGGUGAACGGCCACAUUGGAACUGAGACACGGUCCAAACUCCUACGGGAGGCAGCAGUGGGGAAUAUUGCACAAUGGGGGAAACCCUGAUGCAGCAACGCCGCGUGAACGAUGAAGGCCUUUGGGUCGUAAAGUUCUGUUCUAGGUGAUGAAAACUGACAGUAACCUAGGAGAAAGCCCCGGCUAACUCCGUG